GUAUUUAAUUGUAUGUUUGGAAAAUGUUAUGUUGUAUUAUAGAGAAAAAGCUCCUGAUCCUCAACUCACCUCAUCUUCAGGUAACACAAGGUAGAGGUCUUUCUAAUUCCGAAGGGAGGAGGUGGAGCGCAUCUUCAGCAGACCUUUAUAAGGACGAGGAUAACCCGCCGCGCCAGAUACGUGUGGAUGCCAAGAGAUGCUCAACAUCUCAGAAACUGUAUUCAUUUCUAUUCAGACUGAUGGCCUCAUAUUCAAAACAAGUAUUGCUAUUUUUUUAUUGUCGUUUUUAUCAAAGAAGGCAGAUGUGUUUGUAAUUUACUGUGGUAUUCCUGUAGAGAGCGGUAGAUAGUUUUCUAAAAAAUGGUUUUAUGCUCACCCCAUACUGUAUACAUAAGCGGAGGGAAGAGAAAUCCUAGCAGUUCUCUUGAUUCCAUUUCACUGUCGAAACGAUACUGGAGCACUUUUUUUGCACAUACCUAAAGGAAAAUCCCAAAUAACGAGCACCUAGCGACUUUGUUUAAGUGCAAUAGAGGAACUGUACGAGACAGUACGUUGCGGAGGGAUUUAGAAAUAAAAACCCAGUGUUGUGCAGUUGCAUUCCCUACCACUUCACUUGCACUGGAUACGGGGAGGCUUUGACUUUUUUCAUCCCAGUUUCUGUCUCAAAACAACCGUAUUCUCGUCUAAAUCCGCUGAAGAACCUGACGGGUAGACCAUCUAUCUGAUGCUGUCUGGUCCAAACCAAGUAUGACAGUGUUUACCCCGGCUAGCAUUGACAGCAAGAGAAGGCAGCGAGCAUCUGGGCUCCGUCGAGCUCAACUGUGAAGGGUCUUGCCCCAUCAACAAGAAAAGGGCUUCCCCAGUGAUUUUACCCAUGCACAGUUACUGCAGGCCCUCCUAUACCCAGGUGACAGACUACGGGUUCAGGGCAGAAGCCAUCAUCCCACAGGACAUACUAAAGGCCUGGGGAAGUCAUUAGCCACCACAUACAACAGGACACUGAUCUUGUACGGUCCAGUCCAUUCGUCAGUCCCAGGGCCAGCACAGGGGGGUCGCUCCGGAGGCCAGAGCCCAUCCGGACCGGGACCCUGUGAUGUCGCACUGACUGACCCCCCUAUCUGCGAAUGACCAGCAAGCAUCUGAGGGUGGGGCCCGCCUCAGUCUCGCAUGAUUGGCUGCUGGAUGGAAUUAAGGUGAAUGGAACACAUGCCCAAGGAGCAGGACCCUAACCUAUCAGAGGGAGAAGAGAAACUGUGAGUCCCGCCCCCUACUUCCUAGGCUCAACCCUACAGGCUAUGACCCUGCCGCUAACAUCACGCG